AAUGAACGUUGGCGGCGUGGAUUAGGCAUGCAAGUCGAGCGAGAAAUGUAGCAAUACAUGGACAGCGGCGAAAGGGAUAGUAACGCGUAGGUACGUACCCCCGGGACUGGGAUAGCGGCGGGAAACUGACAUUAAUACCAGAUAACGUCCCCGGACCAAAGGGGUGAUCCCGCCUGGGGAGCGGCCUGCGUCCUAUCAGCUUGUUGGUGAGGUAAGGGCUCACCAAGGCGACGACGGGUAGCGGGUGUGAGAGCACGACCCGCAUCACUGGGACUGAGACACUGCCCAGACACCUACGGGUGGCUGCAGUCGAGAAUCUUCCGCAAUGGGCGCAAGCCUGACGGAGCGACGCCGCGUGCGGGAUGAAGGCCUUCGGGUUGUAAACCGCUGUCAGUGGGGAGGAAAUGCACGGGGGUUCUCCCUCGUGUUUGACCGAUCCGCAGAGGAAGCACAGGCUAAGUUCGUGCCAGCAGCCGCGGUAAUAC
rnacentral:rRNA from 1 species